UUAACAUUCGUUAUAAACAGUUCAGACAGAAGACAUUGGAUACAUGAAUUUAAUGAUUACCUCCCAUGGGAACUCUCCUGGGAUUCACAUCUCAAGAGUGACCAAGGUCAGGCCCCAUGGAAGCAACAGGCAAGGUACUCGGAAUGGGUUUAUGCAGUUGAUACAUGAAAUGUAUAACCAAUUGCGUUUAAUGAUCCUUCCGCAGGUUCACCUACGGAAA
rnacentral:misc_RNA from 1 species